GUGCUUGCUGUGGCAGCACAUAUACUAAAAUUGGAACAAUACAAAGAAGAUUAGCAUGGCCCUUGCACAAGGAUGACAUGCAAAUUCAUGAAGCAUUCCAUAUUUUU
ensembl:snRNA U6 U6 spliceosomal RNA